UCAUUUUUGCAAUUACAGCAAUU
rnacentral:miRNA from 1 species